rnacentral:rRNA from 1 species
GUAGGGAAUAUUGCGCAAUGGGGGAAACCCUGACGCAGCGACGCCGCGUGAGUGAUGAAGGCCUUCGGGUCGUAAAGCUCUGUUGCAGGGGAAUAAAAAAAUGAAGGUACCCUGUGAGGAAGGAUCGGCUAACUUCGUGCCAGCAGCCGCGGUAAGACGAGGGAUCCUAGCGUUUCUCGGAAUCAUUGGGCGUAAAGAGGGCGUAGGUGGCUUGGUAAGUCAGGUGUGAAAGCCCAGGGCUCAAUCCUGGAAGUGCAUUUGAUACUGCUGAGCUUGAGUGUCGGAGAGGUUACCGGAAUACCUGGUGUAGUGGUGAAAUACGUAGAUAUCAGGUGGAACACCGGAGGCGAAGGCGGGUAACUGGACGAACACUGACACUGAGGCCCGAAAGCGUGGGGAUCAAACAGGAUUAGAUACCCUAGUAGUCC